UAUUUAGUCAGUACGUACAUGGACAGUAAAUGACGAUAAGGUCAGCGAUGGUGGGUGCAGAGAGAUCUUCUUCUUCUAUCUUAAUGUCACAGAAGUGGACGUUAACGAAUGUGAGAUUCGGGAACGUCCAACGCGUAAGUCAUCUGGCAUGCCAAGUGAGGGAGCGGAAGGGAGCCUAAAAGGAAGGCAAAGCCGCAAACACUUGCUGCAUGAUGAAGAAUAUGAUCGCGAUUUACGGCUUGAGAGAGAUUCAUGUUCGCGAACACGAAAUUUGGGC